UGAAGAUCCACUUUAUCUUAUGGUGAACAAAAAACAUCUAAUUAAUUUUCCCUUUAUUCAUAUUCCUUCUUCUUCUUCAUAAUCCUCGUACAACUUCAUCAAUUAUACCCAGAAAAAAAACCCAGAUAAUCCAACACUUCUUCUUCGCUUCUCUCCAACCCCCACAUCAUUUGACCCUUUCUUUCAAGAAUAAUCAUACAUCAAUUAUACAAACUUGAACAACAACAACAUACUUGUUUAUUUUUUUCACCCAUUAUCAUUUGUAACCAACAUGUUACUCUCAGAAACCUUUCUCACACAUUGCUUUGAACGAAUCUCAGAAAUGAUGAAGUGUGUUAUAUACCUUUGGAUCUGAAAAUCGGUUCCUUUGAUUUCAUUGCGUUUGCCUUAGAAGCAAUUUUUCUCUUCCAAACUUUCGAUUUCACCUUCAAUUACUCUCCUUCUUCUACUUCUGAUCUCUCUCAACUUUUUCUCCCAAUUUCUAUUACCAUGAAGAAGAAGCUCGAUCCAUGUUUCCCUGCUGUGUGUUUUUUCUAUUUUUCUUUUUAAAGUUUUGAUCUUUUUGUUAUUUUAUGUUGUUCUAGAAUUAAAUUGAGCAAUUUGGUGAUUUUUGUUAUGUGGAUUUUCUUCUAAAAUUUUGUUGAUUUUGGUUUGAAAUGGGUUGAGUUUGGAUCUGAUAUUGAAGAUAUUAAAGAUUGGUUGUGGUGGAUUUGGAAGGAAUGAGUUCAUAGUUAUUUGUAGAGGUAGGGUGGACAAUGAUUAACAAUAUAUGGCAAAAUUUGAUUAAGGAGGACGGUGGUAAUACGAUGAAGAUGAAAGUGUUAUGGGUUUUCCUUUCUACGUUUUUCUCUUUGGUUAUAUAGAAGAAUGAGGGGAAAAAGAGGGGAAAAUGAAGUUGUUGGUGGUGGUUGAUGUUUCUGGGUAUGUUAAUGAAGAUGAUGGUGAUGGUGUUUAUGAAUGUGAUGAUGAAGAUGACGAAGAAGUUGAGGGAAUAAGAUGAAGAAAGAAAAAGUUAAUUAUAUGUUGUUCAUUUACCGGAAGAUAAAAUGGACAUUCAUGAUCCAACGAUCCUUUUUUUUAAAAAUAGAUCAAACGGUAUAAUUUAAAAAAAUUAAUAGAGUCUAUGCUGGACCACUAUUUAAAUGAAAACUGAAAAUUAAUUAGGGAAUCAAAAGACCAAUUAAGCUUAAUUUUAAAUUUCUAAUACGCAUGUAUCUUGUUAAUUCAACAUAAUAUAUAUGCAAUUUUUCAUUGUUAC
rnacentral:lncRNA from 1 species